AACGAUACAGAUAUCAAAUCAAAUAUGAAUUCAUCGAAACCAAACAAAAAAAUGAGGAAAAAAUAGUUCAAACAUGUGUUUUUAUUUUACAUUUUUAUUUGAUUUAUUGUUGUGAUUUAUUGAAUA
rnacentral:ribozyme from 1 species